AAAGCUCUGUCGUAAGUCAAGAACGGGUGUGAGAGUGGAAAGUUCACACUGUGACGGUAGCUUACCAGAAAGGGACGGCUAACUACGUGCCAGCAGCCGCGGUAAUACGUAGGUCCCGAGCGUUGUCCGGAUUUAUUGGGCGUAAAGCGAGCGCAGGCGGUUUGAUAAGUCUGAAGUUAAGGCUGUGGCUCAACCAUAGUUCGCUUUGGAAACUGUCAAACUUGAGUGCAGAAGGGGAGAGUGGAAUUCCAUGUGUAGCGGUGAAAUGCGUAGAUAUAUGGAGGAACACCGGUGGCGAAAGCGGCUCUCUGGUCUGUAACUGACGCUGAGGCUCGAAAGCGUGGGGAGCGAACAGGAUUAGAUACCCUGGUAGUCCACGCCGUAACGAUGAGUACUAGGUGUAAUCAC
rnacentral:rRNA from 1 species